UAUGUACCCAUAGCAAAUCGCUGCCGUCGAUGAAUACUCCAAGAUGCGUGCAGCAACGAGCAGUUAAGCUACGGCGUUCAAUAACUUAGGGUUAGCCUGUUUGCUUAUCCAGAGUUUAGAAGACGCGUUCACACCACGCACCGCAAAACCACUGUAGUAGCAUUUGUUGUAGGACUGCCGACUUGAGGAACAGCUCGAGGCACUGUACAUCUUCCCGAAAACUCUUCUUCUCCUGGAGCAACUCACGCAACCCUCCCCCUCCCCUUCAGGGGCCAACCCGCGCACUCCCCCUUCCCCAGCGGCUCUUCCAGGCCCCCAAAGCACACUACACCGCCCCUCCAUCGAAGCCGCCCCGCAACCAUGCGGAUGGCCUCCAGCUUAAUUCGUUCGAUUGAAUGAAAUUGAACCCGUGGCUAUUUUAGUGAGUACAAAUAGGAUAGGGUUAUAAUUGAGCUUUCCGCAAAUCUGAAAAGAGGAAAUCUUAAGAAGAUAUGAGGAAAAGCAAUCCAAAGUCUGGCGGAUCUACUGCACGGAGCUCUGCUACAGACGAACCAUAUGGAGCUCUCGAGCUAUUCCCUUCAAGAUAGCUCUACCUCGAGUUUAGUGGAUUUACCACUGGGGAAAAUGAAAGAAGAUUACAUUGUUGCUUCAACUCGGUCAUCAAUUAAGCAAAUAUAUGAUGUUAUAUCAUGCUUCGAUGAGAGGAAAAGGUCUUUAGUUAAGUCAAUUGGAUUUGGUGGUUUGCUGUUAUUCCCCUCACUAAUAAGGCAAAUAAACCGCCGGUUUACAGUUGCAGCUUGGCUGAUGAGCAGAGUAGAUCCACUCUCACAGACACUUGGUAUUGACUCCACAAAACACAUUAAGUAGAAAAACAGAUCUUCAAAAAGUAUUCGGAAUAUCAUGCAAUGGAAAGAGUAUAUCUGAUUGCGGUAUGCCACGGAAGGAUAUCAUUGCAACUGUAAUGGGGUUAUACCUUAGUACAGAAACCCAGGAAAACUGGAGUAUAAAAGCUUCACAAGAAGUUUUAGAAAGAAAAUAUGGCAAUGAAAUGACACAAUCUGACCAGGAUGCGUUUAAAGUAGCAUUUGUCAUAUAUAUAAUGUCAACAUUAUUAUCACCUGGCUCCAAAUAUGACUAUGUGUCAGUGGAUUACUGGGAUGCUCUUGUGGACCCAUCAAGCAUCGGAGAUUUCGAUUGGUCAGAUUAUAUAAUAAAGAAGCUAUUCCAGGCAGUCGUCAAGCUAAAAGACUGAGCUUCAGCUUAGCAACAAAGUGUCAAAUAUUACAGGAUGCUCCAUUUUCCUGCAGGUGCUUUACCUCGACAGUAUGGAUAUUGGAGUGAUCAGUAUGGAGCAUUCAUCAUUCUCCACGCAUUAGACAUUUCUCGGCAGAAACAAUGAAGUCUAUGGUGCUUGCUGAUAGUUUGUGCAGAACUGCAGACAGUAACGAGUUCGAAUUUGGCAAGAGUCAGGAGGCUACAAGACUGUGACUCGGAAUGUACAACUCAAUGGGACUGGUAGUGACUCUUCCACAACUAUAAUUGAACGCAGAUCAGGGGAGUCUGGUAAUGGUACCACACCAACACUAUUAUAUGAAGGUCUCAGCAGCAAGACUCUCCCCAUACAAUUUGACAUUACUACUGCUACCGCACGGCCAGCCGAAACAAACUUGGUUGACCUGGAGAAUGCGUCCUUUGGACGGAGCAACACAAAAUCAGCGUCUGCUCCUGGUCCAGCGAAAUACGACACGUCCUUCGGCUGCUCGAAAAAACGACCUAGAGAUUGACAAAGCAUUUCAAGUCUAACCAUAUCAUGGGAGAACACCGCACCAAAAGAGAUUUAGAUACUGCAAAUAAACUUGCAAUGUAGUAAAAUUAGAUAUAAUCCUUCUUUUACCUUGAACGGCAGCAAAAUGCAAUAAUAUUGUUUUUUU